GACGAACGCUGGCGGCGUGCUUAACACAUGCAAGUCGAACGGAAAGGCCCUGCUUUUGUGGGGUGCUCGAGUGGCGAACGGGUGAGUAACACGUGAGUAACCUGCCCUUGACUUUGGGAUAACUUCAGGAAACUGGGGCUAAUACCGGAUAUGAGCUCCUGCUGCAUGGUGGGGGUGGGAAAGUUUCGGCGGUUGGGGAUGGACUCGCGGCUUAUCAGCUUGUUGGUGGGGUAGUGGCUUACCAAGGCUUUGACGGGUAGCCGGCCUGAGAGGGUGACCGGCCACAUUGGGACUGAGAUACGGCCCAGACUCCUACGGGAGGCAGCAGUGGGGAAUAUUGCACAAUGGGCGGAAGCCUGAUGCAGCAACGCCGCGUGCGGGAUGACGGCCUUCGGGUUGUAAACCGCUUUCGCCUGUGACGAAGCGUGAGUGACGGUAAUGGGUAAAGAAGCACCGGCUAACUACGUG
rnacentral:rRNA from 1 species